ACUACGGGAGGCAGCAGUGGGGAAUAUUGCGCAAUGGGCGAAAGCCUGACGCAGCGACGCCGCGUGAGGGAUGAAGGUCUUCGGAUCGUAAACCUCUGUCAGCAGGGAAGAACGGUCACUGUGCUAAUCAGCAGUGAAUUGACGGUACCUGCAACGGAAGCACCGGCUAACUCCGUGCCAGCAGCCGAGGUAAUACGGAGGGUGCGAGCGUUAAUCGGAAUUACUGGGCGUAAAGCGCUCGUAGGCGGUAUGUCAAGUCAAGGGUGAAAUCCCCGCGCUCAACGUGGGAACUGACUUUGAAACUGGCAAACUGGAGUGUGUGAGAGGAUAGUGGAAUUCCAGGUGUAGGAGUGAAAUCCGUAGAUAUCUGGCGGAACAUCAGUGGCGAAGGCGACUAUCUGGCACAUAACUGACGCUGAGGAGCGAAAGCGUGGGUAGCAAACAGGAUUAGAUACCCGAGUAGUC
rnacentral:rRNA from 1 species